rnacentral:rRNA from 1 species
UAAGGAAUAUUGGUCAAUGGACGCAAGUCUGAACCAGCCAUGCCGCGUGCAGGAAGACGGCCCUACGGGUUGUAAACUGCUUUUGUACGGGAAAAAACCCCCGGUCGUGAAUCGGGGCUGAUGGUACCGUAAGAAUAAGCAUCGGCUAACUCCGUGCCAGCAGCCGCGGUAAUACGGAGGAUGCAAGCGUUAUCCGGAUUCAUUGGGUUUAAAGGGUGCGCAGGCGGAAUGAUAAGUCAGUGGUGAAAUCCUACGGCUCAACUGUAGAACUGCCAUUGAUACUGUUAUUCUUGAGUAUACUUGAAGUGGGCGGAAUGUGUCAUGUAGCGGUGAAAUGCUUAGAUAUGACAAGGAACACCGAUCGCGAAGGCAGCUCACUAAAGUAAAACUGACGCUCAGGCACGAAAGCGUGGGGAUCAAACA